rnacentral:rRNA from 1 species
CCUUCGGGGUACUCGAGCGGCGAACGGGUGAGUAACACGUGAGUAACCUGCCCCAGGCUUUGGGAUAACCCCGGGAAACCGGGGCUAAUACCGGAUAUGACCAUCUGUCGCAUGGUGGGUGGUGGAAAGAUUUUUUGGCUUGGGAUGGGCUCGCGGCCUAUCAGCUUGUUGGUGGGGUGAUGGCCUACCAAGGCGGCGACGGGUAGCCGGCCUGAGAGGGCGACCGGCCACACUGGGACUGAGACACGGCCCAGACUCCUACGGGAGGCAGCAGUGGGGAAUCUUGCACAAUGGGCGGAAGCCUGAUGCAGCGACGCCGCGUGAGGGAUGACGGCCUUCGGGUUGUAAACCUCUUUCAGCAGGGACGAAGCGUUUGUGACGGUACCUGCAGAAGAAGCGCCGGCCAACUACGUGCCAGCAGCCGCGGUAAGACGUAGGGCGCAAGCGUUGUCCGGAUUUAUUGGGCGUAAAGAGCUCGUAGGCGGCUUGUCGCGUCGACUGUGAAAACCCGUGGCUCAACUGCGGGCUUGCAGUCGAUACGGGCAGGCUAGAGUUCGGUAGGGGAGACUGGAAUUCCUGGUGUAGCGGUGAAAUGCGCAGAUAUCAGGAGGAACACCGGUGGCGAAGGCGGGUCUCUGGGCCGAUACUGACGCUGAGGAGCGAAAGCGUGGGGAGCGAACAGGAUUAGAUACCCUGGUAGUCCACGCUGUAAACGUUGGGCGCUAGGUGUGGGGGGGCCUCUC